rnacentral:rRNA from 1 species
GAUGAACGCUGGCGGCGUGCCUAAUACAUGCAAGUCGAGCGAACAGACGAGGAGCUUGCUCCUCUGACGUUAGCGGCGGACGGGUGAGUAACACGUGGAUAACCUACCUAUAAGACUGGGAUAACUUCGGGAAACCGGAGCUAAUACCGGAUAAUAUAUUGAACCGCAUGGUUCAAUAGUGAAAGACGGUUUUGCUGUCACUUAUAGAUGGAUCCGCGCCGCAUUAGCUAGUUGGUAAGGUAGCGGCUUACCAAGGCAACGAUGCGUAGCCGACCUGAGAGGGUGAUCGGCCACACUGGAACUGAGACACGGUCCAGACUCCUACGGGAGGCAGCAGUAGGGAAUCUUCCGCAAUGGGCGAAAGCCUGACGGAGCAACGCCGCGGGAGUGAUGAAGGUCUUCGGAUCGUAAAACUCUGUUAUUAGGGAAGAACAAAUGUGUAAGUAACUAUGCACGUCUUGACGGUACCUAAUCAGAAAGCCACGGCUAACUACGUG